rnacentral:rRNA from 1 species
GAUGAACGCUGGCGGCGUGCCUAAUACAUGCAAGUCGAGCGAACAGACGAGGAGCUUGCUCCUCUGACGUUAGCGUCGGACGGGUGAGUAACACGUGGAUAACCUACCUAUAAGACUGGGAUAACUUCGGGAAACCGGAGCUAAUACCGGAUAAUAUAUUGAACCGCAUGGUUCAAUAUUUAAAGACGGUUUUGCUGUCACUUAUAGAUGGAUCCGCGCCGCAUUAGCUAGUUGGUAAGGUAACGGCUUACCAAGGCAACGAUGCGUAGCCGACCUGAGAGGGUGAUCGGCCACACUGGAACUGAGACACGGUCCAGACUCCUACGGGAGGCAGCAGUAGGGAAUCUUCCGCAAUGGGCGAAAGCCUGACGGAGAAACGCCGCGUGAGUGAUGAAGGUCUUCGGAUCGUAAAACUCUGUUAUUAGGGAAGAACAAAUGUGUAAGUAACUAUGCACGUCUUGACGGUACCUAAUCAGAAAGCCACGGCUAACUACGUG